GACGAACGCUGGCGGCGUGCCUAAUACAUGCAAGUAGAACGCUGAAGAGAGGAGCUUGCUCUUCUUGGAUGAGUUGCGAACGGGUGAGUAACGCGUAGGUAACCUGCCUUGUAGCGGGGGAUAACUAUUGGAAACGAUAGCUAAUACCGCAUAACAAUGGAUGACACAUGUCAUUUAUUUGAAAGGGGCAAUUGCUCCACUACAAGAUGGACCUACGUUGUAUUAGCUAGUAGGUGAGGUAAUGGCUCACCUAGGCGACGAUACAUAGCCGACCUGAGAGGGUGAUCGGCCACACUGGGACUGAGACACGGCCCAGACUCCUACGGGAGGCAGCAGUAGGGAAUCUUCGGCAAUGGGGGCAACCCUGACCGAGCAACGCCGCGUGAGUGAAGAAGGUUUUCGGAUCGUAAAGCUCUGUUGUAAGUCAAGAACGGGUGUGAGAGUGGAAAGUUCACACUGUGACGGUAGCUUACCAGAAAGGGACGGCUAACUACGUG
rnacentral:rRNA from 1 species